AUUGAACGCUGGCGGCAGGCCUAACACAUGCAAGUCGAGCGAGCGGCGGACGGGUGAGUAAUGUAUGGGGACUGCCCGAUAGAGGGGGAUAACUACUGGAAACGGUAGCUAAUACCGCAUACUAUCGGAUAACCCAUAUGGGAUUAGCUAGUAGGUGAGGUAAUGGCUCACCUAGGCGACAAUCCCUAGCUGGUCUGAGAGGAUGAUCAGCCACACGGGGACGGAGACACGGCCCAGGCUCCUACGGAGGGAGCAGGGGGGAAUAUUGCACAAUGGGCGCAAGCCUGAUGGAGCCAUGCCGCGUGUAUGAAGAAGGCCCUAGGGGUGUAAAGUACUUUCAGGCGGGAGGCGUUACCGACAGAAGAAGCAACGGCUAACUCCGUGCCAGCCGCCGCGUAAUAC
rnacentral:rRNA from 1 species